rnacentral:rRNA from 1 species
UGAGUAACACGUAUCCAACCUGCCGCUUACUCGGGGAUAGCCUUUCGAAAGAAAGAUUAAUACCCGAUGGUAUAAAGAGUUCGCAUGUUCUCUUUAUUAAAGAAUUUCGGUAAGCGAUGGGGAUGCGUUCCAUUAGAUAGUUGGCGGGGUAACGGCCCACCAAGUCUACGAUGGAUAGGGGUUCUGACGAGGAAGGUCCCCCACAUUGGAACUGAGACACGGUCCAAACGUCCUACGGGAGGCAGCAGUGUGGAAUAUUGGUCAAUGGACGAGAGUCUGAACCAGCCCCAAGUAGCGUGAAGGAUGACUGCCCUAUGGGUUGUAAACUUCUUUUAUAAGGGAAUAAAGUGAGGGACGUGUCCCUUUUUGUAUGUACCUUAUGAAUAAGGAUCGGCUAACUCCGUGCCAGCCGCCGC